rnacentral:sRNA from 1 species
UGUUAUGGGAAAAUUUGGUCACGGAAAU